rnacentral:misc_RNA from 1 species
UAGGGAUUCGUAAUCAAAUAUUAAAAUAUACUGAGCUACGUCACUCUCCUAACGCACGCAGGAAAGGAAAGCCCAAAUCUACACAUUCACAGACACUGAUGAAUUUACCGAAUCCUAAAACAAACCCUUAAACCUCCUGACAAGUGUGCGCCUCAGUAAGCCCAAUGUACGCAAACCACAGCUCUUCCACGCUCCUCCAACCCCUAAAAUGCCGAUUCUGCUGAUUCCAUACCCUUCCAACCCUAAACACAGAACUAGAACGCGACGAAGAAGACCCCGGAAUGGCCAAACACCCCGUCGUUUGCCUCCCGUUGCAGAAGCGAUGCCUCUUUGCUCUCCUCAUCAUGCUUUCUAUCUCCACUGUUAUCGCUUUCCUCAUCAAAGCCGCUUUCGAUUCCUGCGAUCGCCGCUUGGAAGUUGCUCAGAAACCGCUUCGCUCCUUCUCCAAUGCUUUGUCAGUCAACACGCCUCCUAAUCCUCUUACUUUCAUGAAGUCUAAGCGCGUUCUCUUGGUCUCGCAUGAGCUUUCUCUGUCAGGUAUUCUUUCUAUACAUAUAUUUAUGUUUGGGGAUUUCAAAGUUUCCUUUUUGAAUUAAAUAAUUUAAACUGGGAAUUGAAUGCUUUUUCAUAUAUGGUUAUGUGAAAUUUGUGAUAAUUUGAGAUUGAACACUUGUGCAGAUUUGUGCUUGUUUGCAGAUGAAUGGAUUGUUAAAGCCUGUAUGUUGUAAUCAGUGGUUUCAGCUAUGCAGGUUGUUCACUGUUGUGUUUAGUUUGAUGCAAGGAAUACAGCAAGUUGUUUUACUACCGCAAUAGGAGCAUCUGUCUAUCUCCUUAUUUUUUUUGUAUAAUUUUGGAAGAAAAAUGAUAACAAUUCAUAGUAUAUUAAUUUUAAUUCAUUGAUGCAAAACAUUAGGAAAUCUGCAAAAUUAGGAAAUGCUUCUGUUUAUUACCAUUUCUUACCAUUUUGUGAACUUUGAUGCUGGUACAUGUUUUUUAAUACACGGAUUAGGGCCACCUUUCUUAAAGGAAAGCAAGACAUUAUCCUAAUUCAGUAAAAUUUUCUAUACUGCAAAUAUUUGUUAUAAAGAUGAACCUGAGUUAGUUGAAUUGUUCAUCCUUUUGAAGCUGUUUAAGCUGAAUAUUGAAUAUUGGUCAUUAUGUGUACUCUGCUGGAGUUAGCUUAUCAGUUUUUGCGUAGCAUUUGGUAGAAUGCACUUUUAAUCUUUCCAAUUAAUUAUGCUAUUUACACCGCCAUGUUUGGGAGGAACCUUCUGAAAUCAUUAAUAGUGUGGCAUGUCCUGUUUGAACAAUUUCAUUUGCCAUUGACACCAUUCUUUUCAUGACAAGUGCUGCGUGAAUAAUUUGACAAGAUUAAAUGUCUAAGACAAAUUUUGCAUGGGUACAGCCAAAAAAAAAAAAAAAAAGUAUGCCUAAACUAUUAGGUGACCUAUAUUUUUACUGGUGGUUAUGAUUGAGAAAAUAGCGAGUGAUUUUCUUAUCUAUAUUCAUGAAAUUUAUUGUUUAGUUAUAAGGAAUUUAUGGUAAUAGAUAUGCGGCUAAAAUAAUAUUGUGAUUUGCAAGAGGAACCUUCCUGAAAAUGGGUCCUCAUAGCACUCGUGAUGCAUUGAAUUUUAUUUGGUCCUCGUCAUUGUGUUUGAAAAAUAAAGCUUAUAAUUUGCAAGUUUUAAUAUCUAGCAUAAUAUUAAUUUUGCCAUCUAUCAAGCUGCUCAUGAAUUUGGUAUUUUUACAAUGUAAUUACAGUUUGAUGUGUGUAUAAAGGUCAACAUGUGAAAUUUCCUCUAUCCAAAGAAUAAACUUGUGCUACCAUGUAUGUACGCGUCUUUCUCCAUUACCGACUCUCUCUUUGCCUCCUCCCCCCAACAUUCUUCCAUCCUCAAAUUCUUCCCCUUCCUCAUAAUUGUUUUCAUACUAAUCCAUUUAACCUUUCCAUGAUGUUUUUGCUAAUUUUCUAUGUAUUUCUUCAGGUGGACCAUUGUUGUUGAUGGAAUUAGCUUUUCUACUAAGAGGUGUUGGUUCUGAAGUUUUUUGGGUCACCAUCCAGAAACCUUCAGAAACUGAUGAGGUGAUAUACAAUUUAGAGCAAAAGAUGCUAGUCCGAGGAGUGCAGGUACUGUUGUUCUAACUCAUCAAAAUUUUCAGUCUGUGUGCAUGUUAAGCAGAGGUUGCUUUUAACUCUAGGACUAGCAUAAGAAAUCUUACAUAACUUUGCAUUCGUUAUCUGUUCUUAAAUAUCUCAAACGAAAGUUCCUUUUAAGUAUGCUAAUUUUUGGCCAAGUGUUUGUGUAGCUAUCUUAAUUGAGCUGACAUAUUAUGUGAUAUUAAUCUGGCAUGCUUGGCUUUAUGUUAACCCCUGUUAAUGAUAAUUUGAGAAAAGGCUCUCAACUUUUUCUAAAGCUUUUGAUUAAGCUGUUAUACGCAUAUAUAGGUCGUGUCUGCAAAAGGCCAAGAAGCUAUAGGUACUGCUCUUAAAGCCGAUAUGGUUGUUUUGAAUACGGCUGUUGCUGGGAAAUGGCUAGAUGCUGUUCUGAAGGAAAACAUUCCUCGUGUUCUCUCAAAAGUGUUAUGGUGGAUUCAUGAAAUGCGAGGGCAUUAUUUCAAACUAGAGUAUGUUAAGCACCUCCCUUUUGUUGCAGGUGCAAUGAUUGAUUCGCAUACAACAGCAGAAUACUGGAAAAACAGGACUAGAGAGCGGUUAGGAAUUAGAAUGCCUGAAACUUAUGUUGUGCAUCUUGGAAAUAGCAAAGACCUCAUGCAAGUGGCUGAAGAUACUGUGGCCAAACGUGUUCUGCGUGAGCAUGUUCGGGAAUCUAUUGGAGUGAGAAAUGAUGAUUUACUGUUUGCCAUCAUAAAUAGCGUUUCACGUGGAAAAGGUCAGGAUCUCUUUCUUCGUUCUUUUUAUGAGAGUCUGCAACUGAUCCAAGAGAAGAAGCUGCAGGUGCCAUCAGUGCAUGCAGUAGUUGUUGGAAGUGACAUGAAUGCUCAGACAAAGUUUGAAACAGAGCUGCGUAAAUUUGUUCAGGAGAAAAAGAUCCAAGACCGUGUUCACUUCAUAAACAAAACCCUGACAGUUGCUCCAUAUUUGGCCUCUAUUGAUGUUCUUGUUCAGAAUUCUCAGGCACGGGGAGAGUGCUUUGGGAGGAUAACCAUUGAAGCAAUGGCCUUUCAACUGCCUGUGUUGGGUACUGCAGCUGGAGGAACCAUGGAGAUUGUAUUGAACGGGACAACAGGCUUGUUGCAUCCUGUUGGGAAGGAAGGUGCAACUCCUCUUGCCAAUAACAUAGUGAAAUUAGCAACACAUGUAGAAAGGAGGCUGACAAUGGGAAAGAAAGGAUAUGAGAGGGUGAAAGAGAAUUUCUUGGAACACCAUAUGUCGCAUAGAAUUGCUCUGGUCCUAAAGGAAGUAUUGCAGAAGGCAAAAUCUUAGCUUGAAUCAGCUAGUUAGCACAUUUUAUCCGUUGAUUUCAUGCAUUUUUUAGUUCCUUGUAUUAUAUGUAUUGGCAAAUUGCAUGGAUAUUUAAAAGUUGAGUUUUCUUGUAGUUCUUCAAAAAGAAUUCUGUAAGUAAGGCC